rnacentral:rRNA from 1 species
UGGGGAAUAUUGGACAAUGGGGGGCAACCCUGAUCCAGCAAUGCCGCGUGUGUGAAGAAGGUCUUCGGAUUGUAAAGCACUUUCGACGGGGACGAUGAUGACGGUACCCGUAGAAGAAGCCCCGGCUAACUUCGUGCCAGCAGCCGCGGUAAUACGAAGGGGGCUAGCGUUGCUCGGAAUGACUGGGCGUAAAGGGCGUGUAGGCGGUUUACACAGUCAGAUGUGAAAUCCCCGGGCUUAACCUGGGAGCUGCAUUUGAUACGUGUAGACUAGAGUGUGAGAGAGGGUUGUGGAAUUCCCAGUGUAGAGGUGAAAUUCGUAGAUAUUGGAAGAACA